GAACGCUAGCGGCAGGCUUAACACAUGCAAGUCGAGGGGCAGCGGGAUGUAGCAAUACAUUGCCGGCGACCGGCGGAUGGGUGCGUAACGCGUAUGCAACCUACCUUAUACAGGGGAAUAACCUUUCGAAAGGGAGACUAACACCCCAUAGUAUUGAUUUAAGGCAUCUUAGAUUAAUUAAAUAUUUAUAGGUAUAAGAUGGGCAUGCGUAUGAUUAGCUAGUUGGUAAGGUAACGGCUUACCAAGGCGACGAUCAUUAGGGGUUCUGAGAGGAAGGUCCCCCACACUGGUACUGAGACACGGACCAGACUCCUACGGGAGGCAGCAGUGAGGAAUAUUGGUCAAUGGGCGCAAGCCUGAACCAGCCAUGCCGCGUGCAGGAAGACGGCCUUAUGGGUUGUAAACUGCUUUUACAUAAGACUAACCGUAUAUUUGCGAAUAUACCUGAAUGUAUUAUGAGAAUAAGGAUCGGCUAACUCCGUGCCAGCCGCCGC
rnacentral:rRNA from 1 species